GCAAAUGAAUUAAUUGACUUAAAAUUGUGAGAUCAACCUUUUAUGUUGAAAUAAUCAAUUUAUGCGCAAAUGGUACAAAGUAAACUGGAAAGACAAAUGAAAUUGACCUUGAAUUUUUUAAUUUUUUUGUUUUCAAAUGAGAGAUUUAACACAUUAUAUUAAUGAAGGUAAAUGCUUGAAUUUAUUCUCGUAUAUGUAGUGUACGUAAGCAUGUCCUUUGCUCUCUUAUGUGUGUCUCUUGGUAUGAUUGAUUCUGUUUGAUCCUAGGAGGCACUUUUUGUGUUUCUCUGCUAUGCUUUGACUGUUUGUUGUUUUUCCCUAUAUUUUAGGUGAUAAGCGACAUUGAAGCCUCAUCAAUUUCAU
rnacentral:lncRNA from 1 species